UUUUCCACAGACGUAUACUCACAACGGUGCGUCUUGCCUUCGUUUCUUUCCUCCAAGAUCAGCAUUCGUUUAAUCCCUCCACCUAUAAGGUCUUCGGUAUCUUCCUCAAUGUAAGUCUAGAAUCCAGACGAGAGAGAGAGAGCAAUACAACAAUCCAACACAGCGUACCCGGUGAGCCUAACUCAGCGCUCCAUACACACCAACAACAGGGAUACUAAGCACACAAACUGUGGUUCAAACUGCUCUAAAAUACUCUCCUGAAUGUCGUCCUCAUCCAAUCACCCGGCGCUCCUGUCAAUAACUCUCAGCUGUAUGUAAUUCAGCUGAUUACAGCGUCCGCGGCGCUACCGGAUGUCCGGUGUCUUCUCUUACCGGCCCGGGCGGAAACAUCCGGGCGGAACCAAACUUGCCCAAUUUUUGGUUCCGCCUAAAAGAUCGUCACUCCUGUGACAGUACUAUUUUGGUUAUAUCAUAACGUUCCUGAUAUGACUGAAGGAUGACAUUCCAUAUUGGUUAUCCUGUGGUCACAUAAGAACGUUACAGAAAGGACAUUUGAAACAUUAACAGAACAUUCCCACAUGGUAUUAUUUUGGUCAUAUCAUAACGUUCCUGAUAUGACUGUAGGAAGACGUUCCAUAUUGGUUAUGCUGUGGUCACAUGGCAACGUUACAAAGAGGACAUUUGGAACAUUAAUAGAAUGUUCUCACAUGGUCCUCUGUUGGUCGUUUAAUAAUGUUCCUGAUAUCACUAGGAGGACAAAAUAUGAAAUUACAGUUAGAGCAUUUUAUUUUUAUAGGCAGUUAAUAAAAAGGAUGUGUCAAUGUGCAGUGGACCAUACAAACAAAGUAAUAAAUAAAUGAUUUCAGAAUGAAGAAAAAUAAAAGAGUGAUUCAGUCUGCACUAUCGUACAUCAGACAAAGACAAAUUAAAUAAUUAAAUAAGACUUUACAUUAAAUUGUGUUAACAAGCACAAAAAUACUAGUAAAUAAUAUUAUACUAAUAUGUAUUAUGUUGUACUCUCUGAAUAUGAUGAUGUAGAUUGCAAUGCAUCUUGGAAACAGUAGUCAAUUAACAGCAACAGCGUUCAAUACGCUUUAUGAAAAGUACUACCUUUCCCAUAAUGCUACAGCUUACAAGAGGACCCGGAAGUCGCAUGAAAUUCAAACUGCCACACUUGACGACGCGUGAUCUUUGUUUUGUCUUUAUAUAAUACUGUAAGGUAAGUUAAGAUACUUUUCUUUUUAAACCUACAUAGAUUUCACUCGUUGUUCUACAGCGAGUUACAUGAAUGUUUUUUCUGUUUAUUUGCUAUUCUUUUCUGUGAUGUUUUUUUAUUUCUAUGUUAGGCUAUAUAUUCUUAUUUGCCAUUUAAAGUAUAACGAUAAACAUGCAGGCUUACAGUGAGCUAAACAAUUUUCAUAAAGAGGAUGUUAAAAAAAUCUUUAAGAUGUUCGAUCUUUACAAAAUAAAUUAAUGCUCAGCCCACAAAGAUGCCAACCGAAGAUCAAAUGUUUUGUGUACAAAACAAAAAAAUCGACACUUUUUGGAAAUACUGUUGUAAAGGAAUUUAAUACCUAAGAAUCAUAAAUUAGCGUUUGUCUUACAAAAAAAAUUUAAACAUUAUUGUGCUUUGUUUGCAGAAGUCAUGUACCACACAUUGUCAAACCUGAAGAAGUGUAUCUUCCUGCAAUCUGAAGGCUCCAGACCUGGAGAUUGAAGUUCCUAAAGGUUGAUGUUUAUCAAGCUUGUGACCUUAUCACAUGGCGUUAUUUUUUUUACAUUUAUAUAUCUAAUACACAUUUGCACAUCUGUAAACAUAAAUUUAAUAUUUUGUGGGCUAUUUUUUAUUUUAUUUAACCAGUUGUUGUAUAUUGAAAUAUGUUACAUUUUAUGCACUCCAAAUGUAAAUGUUUUGUUUUAAUUGCAUCUUUAUUGUUUAAAACAAUUUAAUUAAUGUGGGUUUUUGUUAGCUUUUAUGUUAUUUUUGUAUUUUUUGGCUAUUUAUUUGUUUUUGUUUUUUAUUAUCCUUCUGUUAAUUUGCCAGAUUUUGACCUUCUAUUUGUUUUUCCUGUAAUCUCACUUCAAUUAUUUUUUGUGUUUCUCAAUGAUACAUUUUUGUCACAGUCCCAAUUUGUUCCUGCUUGUUUCUCCACUGUCAGGUGAGGAUAAUAACAAACACAGUUCAGGUGAGAGAGUGAAAAGGAUUAUGGGAAAUGAAGUCCAAAUGGAUGAUGAACGGGGAACCGUUCAUCAUCCAUUUGGACUUCAUUUCCCAUAAUCCUUUUCACUCUCUCACCUGAACUGUGUUUGUUAUUAUCCUCACCUGACAGUCAUCCCCCUCAUCACUCCAUUGUCUAAAUACCCUGCUUUUCCCUUUGUCUAGGUCAGUUCUUGUUUAUAGUGAUGUGUUGGGUGUUUUGCUGUUUACCAGUUUCCAUGUUCCUUGUUUUAUAUUAAUUAAAGAUUAUAAUUUUGGAUUCAU